UGAUAGCCAGGAUAGCCUUGGGGUUGU
rnacentral:piRNA from 1 species